rnacentral:lncRNA from 1 species
CCGGUAUCAAAUAAAACAUGAGCAAUAUGGUCACAGAUAGUAUACAUACCCUGUACUACAUCUGGGUCGGCGUCGGCAUCCUGCUGGGUAAGGUUGUAAGCUCUGCCCUGGAUAGGAGGCCUCCCUUGAUUCUGGUUCCUCGGGCAUUCUCUAGCAUAAUGCUGGGCACUGCCACAAAUGCGAUAAGUGUUGUUGAGGCGGUAGCAGGGUCGGUCCCCAUGAUCUCUGCCGCAGUGGUG